CCUACGGGAGGCAGCAGUGGGGAAUAUUGGGCAAUGGGCGCAAGCCUGACCCAGCAACGCCGCGUGAAGGACGAAGGCUUUCGGGUUGUAAACUUCUUUUCUGAGGGACGAAGAAAGUGCCGGUACCUCAGGAAUAAGCCACGGCUAACUACGUGCCAGCCGCCGCGGUAAUACGGAGGUGGAAAGCGUUAUGCGGUUUUAUUGGGUGUAAGGGGCGUGUAGGCGGGAAAGAAGGUCAGAUGUGAAAGCUCAGGGCGCAGCCCUGAGCCUGCCUUUGAAACUGUUUUUCUUGAGUGCUGGAGAGGCAAUCGGAAUUCCGGGUGUAGCGGUGAAAUGCAUAGAUAUACGGAGGAACACCAGUUGCGAAGGCGGAUUGCUGGACAGUAACUGACGCUGAGGCGCGAAAGCGUGGGUAGCAAACAGGAUUAGAUACCCUUGUAGUC
rnacentral:rRNA from 1 species